GACGAACCGUGCGAACGUUAUUCGGAAUCACUGGGCUUAAAGCGUGUGUAGGCGGAUCGUUAAGUACCUUGUGAAAUCCCACGGCUCAACCGUGGAACUGCUGGGUAUACUGGCGAUCUUGAGCCACCUAGGGGCGAGCGGAACAAGCGGUGGAGCGGUGAAAUGCGUAGAUAUCGCUUGGAACGCCAAUGGUGAAAACAGCUCGCUGGGGGUGUGCUGACGCUGAGACACGAAAGCCAGGGGAGCGAACGGG
rnacentral:rRNA from 1 species